UACGUAGGGUGCGAGCGUUGUCCGGAAUUAUUGGGCGUAAAGGGCUCGUAGGCGGUUUGUCGCGUCGGGAGUGAAAACCCAGGGCUUAACUCUGGGCUUGCUUUCGAUACGGGCAGACUAGAGGUAUGCAGGGGAGAACGGAAUUCCUGGUGUAGCGGUGAAAUGCGCAGAUAUCAGGAGGAACACCGGGUGGCGAAGGCGGUUC
rnacentral:rRNA from 1 species